rnacentral:rRNA from 1 species
GUGCCAGCAGCCGCGGUAAUACGUAGGGGGCAAGCGUUGUCCGGAAUUAUUGGGCGUAAAGCGCGCGCAGGCGGUUUUCUAAGUCAGGUGUGAAAGCCCACGGCUCAACCGUGGAGGGCCACUUGAAACUGGAAAGCUUGAGUGCAGGAGAGGAGAGCGGAAUUCCACGUGUAGCGGUGAAAUGCGUAGAGAUGUGGAGGAACACCCGUGGCGAAGGCGGCUCUCUGGCCUGUAACUGACGCUGAGGCGCGAAAGCGUGGGGAGCGAACAGGAUUAGAUACCCUGGUAGUCC